UUCAACAAGGGAUCGCCAGAAAGGGAUCACCAAAGAAUCAAUCCAAGGGUAACCUAGAGCCAGAGCCAAGCCAGAGCCAGAGGGAUCAACACCAAUCAACCAGAACUUCCGGACGCAAAGUCAGAGGAGCACCUCGACGGAAGGCCCCACCCAAACACCGCAACCAAAAAAGACGAAAAUUCCCAAAAUGGACAUAAUCAAGAUAUUACCAUUAACGACCCUUCUAUUGAUGACCCAGGGCCUAGCAACCGAAUAUAAAGUAACUCCAAUUCCUUCAUCCUCAGGAAUCAUAUUUCAUAACUUAGGCUUAGCAAAAAUAUCUAAUGAACA